UACGAAGGGGGGCUAGCGUUGCUCGGAAUUACUGGGCGUAAAGGGCGCGUAGGCGGAUGUCUAAGUUGGGGGGUGAAAUCCCGGGGCUCAACCUCGGAAUUGCCUUCAAAACUGGAUAUCUUGAGUUCGGGAGAGGUGAGUGGAACUCCGAGUGUAGAGGUGAAAUUCGUAGAUAUUCGGAAGAACACCAGUGGCGAAGGCGACUCACUGGCCCGAUACUGACGCUGAGGCGCGAAAGCGUGGGGAGCAAACAGG
rnacentral:rRNA from 1 species